AACGAACGCUGGCGGCAUGCCUAACAUAUGCAAGUCGAACGAGGCCUUCGGGUCUAGUGGCGCACGGGUGCGUAACGCGUGGGAACCUGCCCUUAGGUUCGGAAUAACUCCCCGAAAGGGGUGCUAAUACCGGAUAAUGUCUUCGGACCAAAGAUUUAUCGCCUUUGGAUGGGCCCGCGUUGGAUUAGCUAGUUGGUAGGGUAAAAGCCUACCAAGGCGACGAUCCAUAGCUGGUCUGAGAGGAUGAUCAGCCACACUGGGACUGAGACACGGCCCAGACUCCUACGGGAGGCAGCAGUGGGGAAUAUUGGACAAUGGGCGAAAGCCUGAUCCAGCAAUGCCGCGUGAGUGAUGAAGGCCUUAGGGUUGUAAAGCUCUUUUACCCGGGAUGAUAAUGACAGUACCGGGAGAAUAAGCUCCGGCUAACUCCGUG
rnacentral:rRNA from 1 species